CACGUAGGAGGCAAACGUUAUCCGGAUUUACUGGGCGUAAAGCGCGUGUAGGUGGUUCUGUAAGUAGGGCGUGAAAGCUCCUGGCUCAACUGGGAGAGGCCGUUCUAAACUGCAGAGCUAGAGGAUGGUAGAGGGAGGUGGAAUUCCAGGUGUAGCGGUGGAAUGCGCAGAUAUCUGGAGGAACACCAGUGGCGAAGGCGGCCUCCUGGACCAUUCCUGACACUCAGACGCGAAAGCUAGGGUAGCAAACGGGAUUAGAUACCCCGGUAGUCCCU
rnacentral:rRNA from 1 species